UACGUAGGUGGCAAGCGUUGUCCGGAAUUAUUGGGCGUAAAGCGCGCGCAGGCGGUCUCUUAAGUCUGAUGUGAAAGCCCCCGGCUCAACCGGGGAGGGUCAUUGGAAACUGGGAGACUUGAGUGCAGAAGAGAAGAGCGGAAUUCCACGUGUAGCGGUGAAAUGCGUAGAGAUGUGGAGGAACACCAGUGGCGAAGGCGGCUCUUUGGUCUGUAACUGACGCUGAGGCGCGAAAGCGUGGGGAGCAAACAGGAUUAGAUACCCCCGUAGUCC
rnacentral:rRNA from 1 species